AUGGAAGUAAAGUUGAGAAGUGUAUCAAAAAUCAACCUCCACUAUCGAAGGAUGACCCCACCUCAUCCCUAUCGAAGAUUGCUCGCGCAAGUCGCACCCGACCCGCGCUCCGCCGGGCGUCGUACAAGCCUCGAGCUCGCCCACGCCGGAUCAGAGCACCGUCGACCUCCCUGCGCUGCGCACCACCGUUGGCCGCACUUUACCUGUGCUCCUUCGCCGCUGUCCCCACCUGGCCACCUCAACCUCACCCGCGCCGGAACCGGCACCACUGCCCCUCCCCGAGAUCCACGGCUGGUCGGUGCAUAUGCCCAGAUUGGGAAGAGGAGGCGGAGGCUGCAGAGGGAAGUCGAGCAUCGCACUGGGGCUCGCAGCGGUGCAACAUUGUCAGGACAGAGCAGCAGGGCAUUGGGGCGGCGACGGGAAGGCGUAUAUGCUCCGGGAGGCGGAGCAGCGGCAGACAAGAAUCCUAUCGCAGGGCGCUUGAGAUGA
rnacentral:rRNA from 1 species